GUUAAAGAAUAGAACUUAAAAUAUAAUUAAGAAGAGUGACCAAAAUGGAAGAAAUAAUGAAAUUAGUAAUCCUUGCAUCCUCUCAUAUUGAAAUUGUAGCUAGUAUUAAUCAUUUCUGUGAUAUAGGUGAUACUUUUGGUAUGAAAUGAAAAUAUAUCCAAAUCACUCCAUCUUCCUAUAUUAUGCUUCAGAUAUUGAUGGAUAAUUUGCUUAAUCAAUACUCUUAGAAUAACUCUUUGAAUUCUCUAUAUGCUUGAUUAAGAGUUCUUAUCCAUGGCAUUAUCCUUUAUUGAUCAUAAACAUAAGAAUGUCUACUUGGUAUAUUUUUUUUAAAUAUAUGUAUUAAGAAUACCAAGAUUAAAGAGUCUAGUUUUGGCAUAUAAAAUCAACUCAUACUAGUAUGGACUUAAUCUCAAAAGACCUUGUCAUU
rnacentral:lncRNA from 1 species